AAUAUUCUAAUUGAUGGAGAAUAAUAAUUUAUAUUCAAGGAAGAGGAAAAUAAUUUUUCCGUCCAAAUUUUUGAAUAUACCCAGAGAAAUACUGUUGGUGUGGGGGAAGGGGAGUUUUGAAUUCAGGAUUCUCGGCUGCCAAACAGAUCUCAGUUUUCUCACUUUGAGUCAUGAUUUCUGCCGUACCAACCAUUAGUUUCACAUGUCUUUCAAACUCAGACCUCACUAAAAACCUUCCCGGCUGGAUUUCUUUUUCUGGGUAACGCAUCUCUCUCUCUCUCUUCUUUUUUCUGUAAAUCCGCUCAAUUCAAAAUAUAGGAACCAAUUACAAAUCCAUGUGUUCCACAUGACAAAAUCAAAUGGGAAAGAUCUUUGAUGCCUAAUUUUUCUACAUAAAUAUUAAUUACUAUGAAAAAAGUUAGGGGAUUACAAUCAGAUACUCGAUAAUUGCUUUUUAAGGCAUGGUGCAUCGGGAGCACGAUAAUAUAAUACAUGGAAAUGGAAUUUCAUCCAUGGGAAAUCACUUUAACUUCUCUUUUCGCAAAAGAGAAUCCAUAUUUUCUCUUCAUUGAUUUCGUUUAAUCAUGUACCAGCUGUCCCGAGGCAACAAACAACCAAAAUUCGGGCAGAUGGCACUGUAUCGACAAAGGGUUUGAUCUAACAUAAUCAAUUUACAUUCAUCAUAUGUCAUGUUUCAGAAGCUUGUAUGCCAGAUAGCUCCGUCACCUUCCCCACACCGCUGGUGCACUUCAUCCAUUCUCUCCACAGACUUGCAAAUGCCACUGCAGCUCCAGUCAAACGAUGCUGCACAGGGGUUGCCCGCUUGGGCUUUCCACUCACAAUCUAUCAAUGUCAUGCUAAUAGUAUCAGUAAAAGUUUAGUUUCAAAGGGUGUCUACUAUUGAGCUUGCUGGUCGUCCCAGCAGACAAAUGAAUAGGAAUUUAAACAGAUAACUGAUGAUCUGAAGUUCAAAUUUUAAUCAUUAAGCUUUUGGUGAUUAAUUAUAUUAUAUUAUUUCACAUGAUAUUGAAGCCAAAAGUCUAAAGGUCAAAUUUUGACUACCGCUUAUUUCUUUGUCAAUCAAAUUUCAGCACAAGAUAUGAGGCUUGUGUUCGAUUCAUGCUUUCAACUAAGUGGGCUUGUAAGUGAGGAAGGUUGAGGGAUCAUGUCAAUGUUUAAAUAAUGAAUCUAGUCAUUUUCUAUCGUGUUAAACUUUUAAAAUAU
rnacentral:lncRNA from 1 species